GUCGUCGUGAGGCGGGGUGGAGAGGAAGCCGGAGACGAAAUUCUGCACCGAGGAACACGAACCGCAUGAGGCAUGUCGGUCGGGGUGAGCCAGCACGAGAUGGUGAAGCCCGUUCCACCGAAACGGCCGGUGUGUAGAUGCGGCGGCGGCAGGAGGAAAGUGAAUGUU
rfam:Gordonia hirsuta DSM 44140 = NBRC 16056 DNA, contig: GOHST73.